AUGUGUUUAAAGUUUCUUUUACUCGUAAUAAAAAAGAAAAACAUAAUAUUACGCCCCUUUGUCCAAUCCUUUUCAGUUACAUAUAUGCUGUAAAUAUAAAAAAGAGAACAAGGGAUUAAUAUCGUAAGUAGUGGAUAUCGAGGAGAGAAUCCUAAGGUGUGCGAGAGAACUCUGGUUAAGGAACUCGGCAAAAUGACCCCGUAACUUCGGGAGAAGGGGUGCUUUCUUAACGGAAAGCCGCAGUGAAUAGGCCCAAGCGACUGUUUAGCAAAAACACAGCUCUCUGCGAAGCCGUAAGGCGAAGUAUAGGGGGUGACACCUGCCCGGUGCUGGAAGGUUAAGGAGAGGGGUUAGCGUAAGCGAAGCUCUGAACUGAAGCCCCAGUAAACGGCGGCCGUAACUAUAACGGUCCUAAGGUAGCGAAAUUCCUUGUCGGGUAAGUUCCGACCCGCACGAAAGGUGUAACGAUUUGGGCACUGUCUCAACCAGAGACUCGGUGAAAUUAUAGUACCUGUGAAGAUGCAGGUUACCCGCGACAGGACGGAAAGACCCCGUGGAGCUUUACUGUAGCCUGAUAUUGAAUUUUGGUACAGUUUGUACAGGAUAGGCGGGAGCCUUUGAAACCGGAGCGCUAGCUUCGGUGGAGGCGCUGGUGGGAUACCGCCCUGACUGUAUUGAAAUUCUAACCUACGGGUCUUAUCGACCCGGGAGACAGUGUCAGGUGGGCAGUUUGACUGGGGCGGUCGCCUCCUAAAGUGUAACGGAGGCGCCCAAAGGUUCCCUCAGAAUGGUUGGAAAUCAUUCGUAGAGUGCAAAGGCAUAAGGGAGCUUGACUGCGAGACCUACAAGUCGAGCAGGGACGAAAGUCGGGCUUAGUGAUCCGGUGGUUCCGCAUGGAAGGGCCAUCGCUCAACGGAUAAAAGCUACCCCGGGGAUAACAGGCUUAUCUCCCCCAAGAGUCCACAUCGACGGGGAGGUUUGGCACCUCGAUGUCGGCUCAUCGCAUCCUGGGGCUGUAGUCGGUCCCAAGGGUUGGGCUGUUCGCCCAUUAAAGCGGUACGCGAGCUGGGUUCAGAACGUCGUGAGACAGUUCGGUCCCUAUCCGUCGUGGGCGUAGGAAAUUUGAGAGGAGCUGUCCUUAGUACGAGAGGACCGGGAUGGACGCACCGCUGGUGUACCAGUUGUUCUGCCAAGGGCAUAGCUGGGUAGCUAUGUGCGGAAGGGAUAAGUGCUGAAAGCAUCUAAGCAUGAAGCCCCCCUCAAGAUGAGAUUUCCCAUAGCGUAAGCUAGUAAGAUCCCUGAAAGAUGAUCAGGUUGAUAGGUUCGAGGUGGAAGCAUGGUGACAUGUGGAGCUGACGAAUACUAAUAGAUCGAGGACUUAACC
rnacentral:rRNA from 1 species